rnacentral:rRNA from 1 species
GACGUAGGUGGCGAACGUUAUCCGGAAUUAUUGGGCGUAAAGGGUGCGUAGAUGGCCUGAUAAGUUAGCAGUGGGAAAUCGAGGCUCAACCUCGUGGAAGCUGGUAAUACUGUCAGGCUCGAGUGCAGGAGAGGUUAACGGAACUCCAUGUGGAGCGGUAAAAUGUGUAGAUAUAUGGAAGAACACCAAUAACGGCGAAGGCAGUUAAACUAUUCUGUUACUGACAUUGAGGCACGAAAGCGUGGGGAGCAAAACGG